rnacentral:sRNA from 1 species
AAUCAAAACUAAAUUGCUCUCUGUAUCACCUCCACCCUCUGAGUUUUAUAUGCAAGUAAAUUUGCAUUACAAGGUUCUUGAGCUGGAUGCUUUUACAGCUGACAAAGACAUUCAAACUAACCUCAUUACGUGAUCAUCUACAUGGAAACUCAAAAUAGCUAAAGUAACAUCAAAAAGAUGAGUUUGUAAUCAGAUGUUUGUCCAUCCAAAUAAGCUAAUGUUUUAAACCGUGUGCAAAAAAUACUGUGAACUGAAUUGUUACUAAGGUAGCUUUCAGCUUUUGUGUAACUUUUCUCAAAAACAGCUAGCAGCAAAAACAAAUAGUCAAGCCUCUCUUUUCUUUGUUGCUUCCUUACUUCAACUCUCUCUAUAUAGUACUAACUAUAUAAUUGUGGGAUUAUUUAUGUAGUUGUUAGUUCUUUGUCAAUGUAAAUAUAUAGUGCAUUAGUUUUGUCUAAAUGUAUAUUAAUGCUUUGAUUGGUAACAUGAGUUAUAAUUGAGUUGAGUUGAGUUAUGUACAUA